GCCAAACCGAGACCAACUUUACAAUAUUUGAAUCCGGAUGCUGCCGUUACCGUCGCCCGCCGCUGCUGGACCGUUAUAAUUAAUGAAUCGUUAAACUAGUUACGCGUUUAAAAGCUUCAUUAAUAAAACUUGUUACUUUCCAUGGAGUGCGCGUAUAUCAUUCGCGUUUGUACAAUUAAUUCAAAACUUUAUAAUCUGCCGCCCGUUUGGAGUGUUGUGCGAAAUUAGUUUUCAUUAGGAAUGGUGUUUUGUUUUGUGUGUAAAUAGGUAAUGUUACACUACUCUAUCCGCAUUACCUACUCUAUGCAUUCGGGCCCCUCGUUUCCUUAAUUAUGAAUGUGGAGUCCGGACUAUUCACGUUUCUAAAUAUUUUACUCGAGAUUUCCGUAAUCAGAUUAUUCUCGAAUUAAAUGAAAAUAAGUGACACGGCUUUAAUCUGAUAUACCCGAGCUUGAUGUUCGCUUUGGAGAACAUUUUGACUACAAAUGACCUCCUUUAGGGUUUUAUAUGGACAACGAAAAUGUUUAUGGUUCGCCGGAAUGCAGAAUUGAAACACGAAUUUUCAAUUAAAGAAGACAAACAUCGGAGUGCGUCCCUUCGCUAAUUAAAGAUUUUGUAAACUAAGUGUAGAUACUAAGUAAACCAUUGUAAAAUCCAUUAA